rnacentral:lncRNA from 1 species
GAUUAACAAAAGCAGGGAUAUAAUUUUUUCAGCCUUUUUGAAAAGCCUGAAAUGUCAAGCCUUUUAAAGCAGAUUAUUCUGCCUCUGUGCAGUGAAUACAGCCAGAGUAACCUUUUGUCUACAAUUAAAUAUUCUAGCAUAAAUAUAAAAGAAAAUCAGAGAUGGGAAAGAUUGACUCACGAGAGAUUGGAGAGGUAGAUUCGCACGGUGAUAGUGCAAGCAGCUUGCUUCUAAUUAAAUAUGCGACUGAGUCUCAAAGCAUUUGCUUUCAGCCGCAGAGAGAAGAAGCUGCCCAAGAAUGGAAAGGAAGAAAUAUAUCACAUCAUCUGUCUGUCCACAGGCUUUCCUUUGGGCUUAUGGAGGUUCCUCUCCUGCCACUCCAGUACAAAUAGUUGCCUUUGCAGCUGCACCUGCAGGAGGAUUGCCUGGAUCUGUUUUGACUGCUUGGCUGCUUCUAACAACAGGAACAGGACCUCUGAGGUCUCUGAUACAUCUUCCCACGUUGGGGUAGGGAGGGGCUAUCUUCCUUCACAAAAAGAGGCCUGCUGCACACUUCCACUCUGUUUCCUCCCCUGCCUUCCUUUGACUAACAACCUUAGCUGUCCCCUUUUAUUGGAGGCAACUGUCAUGCCUGCAUUCUCCACCUCUUCCAGGGAGGGAGGAAUAGCUCAGUGGUUUGAGCAUUGGCCUGCUAAACCCAGGGUUGUGAGUUCAAUCCUUGAGGGGGCCACUAGGGAUCUGGGGCAAAAUCAGUACUUGGUCCUGCUAGUGAAAGCAGGGGGCUGGACUUGAUGACUUUUCAAGGUCCCUUCCAGUUCUAGGAGAUAGGAUAUCUCCAUUAAUGAACAAAAAAUUAAUUUAAUUGUAAUGGGGUUCACUCACUGCAGAAGCACCUUGUGGCAUAGCAGCAGUCUCCCCAUAUGCUGCCCCCGCCAAUUGUUCCAUCACUGCAAUGGUUUCUCUUCCUACACCUUGGCACUCUGGCCACAUCAUGCUUUAUUCCACUCCUUCUGGGGUAACAGAGUCCAGCCAAGUAAUAUUUCAAUGACCUUACAGCAGGUGGUCUGCCUAUCUCUAGCUCCUUACCCCAGGAGGUUUUUCCCCACCUUCUUCAGUGGCUGGUAGGGGAACCCAGGCCCUCCCUCUGCUCUGGGUUCCAACCCAGAGAUUCUGUAGCAGGUAGUGAAGGUCUAUUCCUUCAGACUCCUUACUGCCUUCCUGAACUGCUUCCUACCUCUUCUAUCCUCCAGAGAGUGACUGCAGAAUCUCUCCCUGGAGCCCCUUUCUGCUACCAACUUCCUGGCUUUAUAAUCAUCAUCCUGCCCUGCCCCAGCAGGGCUUCAUCAUUAAGUAAGCCUGGCUUUCCCUCUCUUGCAGGUGCUGCCAGGUAUGUUAAUUGGCUGCUGAGGUCCACUUCAGGGCCUGUGUGGCGUACAUAUACACAUACUAACAGUUUUGGCUUUUAGUGUGAGUGGGACAACAGGGCUAUAGAGCCAAUCAUGCUAGGGAAUCAUGUUAUAGCUCGGGUAAUCUUCUAAAACUAUAUUUCCCCCCCCCAUCAACAAUGCAAUGCAAUGGAUACCGCUGUCCACCUGCCUUACUCUAUGCACAGUUUUUCCCACCUUCCCUGUGGAAAUGGGUGGACUAUGUAUAUACUGUGUAGUACUACUCUUUUCCAUCUUCUGCUGCGUGUAUGUUGUUAUCCUCAGAACAGAGUAUCCAUUUUGACAUAUUUCCUGUUAUCGUUUU